rnacentral:rRNA from 1 species
UCCAGACUCCUACGGGAGGCAGCAGUGGGGAAUAUUGCACAAUGGGGGGAACCCUGAUGCAGCGACGCCGCGUGGGUGAAGGAGCACCUCGGUGCGUAAAGCCCUAUCGGCAGGGAAGAAACAGACGGUACCUGACUAAGAAGCCCCGGCUAACUACGUGCCAGCAGCCGCGGUAAUACGUAGGGGGCAAGCGUUAUCCGGAUUCACUGGGUGUAAAGGGAGCGUAGACGGCGACGCAAGUCUGGAGUGAAAGCCCGGGGCCCAACCCCGGGACUGCUCUUGGAACUGCAUGGCUGGAGUACAGGAGGGGCAGGCGGAAUUCCUAGUGUAGCGGUGA